UAUAGAUGGCCCUAAAGGGGUAAAAUGGGAACUGGGAUUGAUCUAUUUUUAGACUAGGAAAAUGGGAUUUGGGUUGCUGGGACAGGGAUUUGGCCACUAGGAAUGGGAAAUGAAGUCCUCAAAAAUGGGAAUGGGAUUGAAGUAAUGUGAGUCGAUUCCCAAUUUUGAUCCGUUUUUGGUGUCUUUAGUCGUGAUUUUUGUUGUUAACUAUAUUAUUCACAGCAUUACCUGCGAACAGACAUACUCUGGCGCCCGGAACUUUGGGUUUUCUGAUUAUGCGUGUCUCAGAAUGAUGCAAA